UUGGAUUGAGUCUUGUUUCAUUGUGUCUCUCUAGUUUGUUCCUAGCUGAAUCCUUUCUUGUUAUUUUCCCCUGCAGAUCCUUGUGGUUCAAGUGACCAAUUACUCAAUAAACAGUAAUCGUUCAUUCUCUCCCUAGUGGAUCUUUGUGGCCUUCUACCCAGUAAUUGGUAGUUGUAAGUCCUAUUUCUGUGGUUUACUACCCAGUAACCGGUAGUUGUA
rnacentral:lncRNA from 1 species